rnacentral:rRNA from 104 species
UCCGUAGGUGAACCUGCGGAGGGAUCAUU